rnacentral:piRNA from 1 species
UGGUCUCAUGGCCAGUGAAUGGCAGGG